rnacentral:sRNA from 1 species
GGUUGAAGAACUGAUUGCAGCCCAAGCAGACGUGGGGGCCAGAGAUAAAUGGGGGAAAACUGCGCUGCACUGGGCUGCUGCCGUGAACAACGCCCGAGCCGCCCGCUCGCUUCUCCAGGCCGGAGCCGAUAAAGAUGCCCAGGACAACAGGGUUAGAUGGGACAGAGGGCUUCCCACAAAACAGUCAGGCGCACGAGAGAUGGAAAGUGCGGUAACCCGCAAAGCCUGAAGGGAUAGGGGCCAGUGGUCGCGCAAGUGAAGGCAGAAAGGCCCAGUCCUGUGGGCGUGGCCUUCCCUGAUAUCGGCCCUGGCUCUUCUGUACAGGAGCAGACGCCGCUAUUCCUGGCGGCGCGGGAAGGAGCGGUGGAAGUAGCCCAGCUACUGCUGGGGCUGGGGGCAGCCCGAGAGCUGCGGGACCAGGCUGGGCUAGCGCCCGCGGACGUCGCUCACCAACGUAACCACUGGGAUCUGCUGACGCUGCUGGAAGGGGCUGGGCCACCAGAGGCCCGUCACAAAGCCACGCCGGGCCGCGAGGCUGGGCCCUUCCCGCGCGCACGGACGGUGUCAGUAAGCGUGCCCCCGCAUGGGGGCGGGGCUCUGCCGCGCUGCCGGACGCUGUCAGCCGGAGCAGGCCCUCGUGGGGGCGGAGCUUGUCUGCAGGCUCGGACUUGGUCCGUAGACUUGGCUGCGCGGGGGGGCGGGGCCUAUUCUCAUUGCCGGAGCCUCUCGGGAGUAGGAGCAGGAGGAGGCCCGCCCCCUCGCGGCCGUAGGUUUUCUGCAGGCAUGCGCGGGCCUCGGCCCAACCCUGCGAUAAUGCGAGGAAGAUACGGAGUGGCUGCCGGGCGCGGAGGCAGGGUCUCAACGGAUGACUGGCCCUGCGAUUGGGUGGCCCUGGGAGCUUGCGGUUCUGCCUCCAACAUUCCGAUCCCGCCUCCUUGCCUUACUCCGUCCCCGGAGCGGGGAUCACCUCAACUUGACUGUGGUUCCCCAGCCCUCCAAGAAAUGCCCAUAAACCAAGGAGGAGAGGGUAAAAAAUCGAAGAAUACAUGGUAGGGAGGAAUUCCAAAAAUGAUUACCCAUUAAAAGGCAGGCUGGAAGGCCUUCCUGGUUUUAAGAUGGAGCCCCCAAAAUGAAGGGUUGUCAGUUUAGUUUCUCUCCUAAAAUGAAUGUAUGCCCACCAGAGCAGGCAUCUUCCACGUGGAGAAGCUGCAGCUCUGGAAAGAGGGUUUAAGAUGCUAGGAUGAGGCAGGCCCAGUCCUCCUCCAGAAAAUAAGACAGGCCACAGGAGGGCAGAGUGGAGUGGAAAUACCCCUAAGUUGGAACCAAGAAUUGCAGGCAUAUGGGAUGUAAGAUGUUCUUUCCUAUAUAUGGUUUCCAAAGGGUGCCCCUAUGAUCCAUUGUCCCCACUGCCCACAAAUGGCUGACAAAUAUUUAUUGGGCACCUACUAUGUGCCAGGCACUGUGUAGGUGCUGAAAAGUGGCCAAGGGCCACCCCCGCUGAUGACUCCUUGCAUUCCCUCCCCUCACAACAAAGGAACUCCACUGCGGGGAUGAAGCGCUUCUUCUAGCCACUGCUAUCGCUAUUUAAGAACCCUAAAUCUGUCACCCAUAAUAAAGCUGAUUUGAAGUGUUA